UACAGAGGGGGCAAGCGUUGUUCGGAAUUACUGGGCGUAAAGGGCGCGUAGGCGGCCUGUUAAGUCGAACGUGAAAUCCCCGGGCUCAACCUGGGAACUGCGUUGGAAACUACGAGGCUGGAGUACGGCAGAGGGGGGUGGAAUUCCACGUGUAGCAGUGAAAUGCGUAGAUAUGUGGAGGAACACCGAUGGCGAAGGCAGCCCCCUGGGCUAGUACUGACGCUCAUGCACGAAAGCGUGGGGAGCAAACAGG
rnacentral:rRNA from 1 species